AUGACAUCAAUGCAUGAUUUAGGUAAAAGCCCACCCGACAGAUAGUGAUCUGAAGCUGGGAUUGGCCUGACGGGGUAGCUUAGGGGUUUCAAUCCUAGCUCUGCACAUAUGAACAUAUCCUUAGGCAGCUUUCCACUCCCUGAGACACCAUGUCAUUAGCUAUGACACAGUCUGAUGUGAGCCUGAUACCUGCUACCUACCUGCUAACCUGCCUCAACACCUCAACCUACCUGCUGCUUGCCCUCGACAUCACAGAGCUCUAUCAGGUUCUACUGGGUUCACUCGGGUUCUACUAGAUUCUACCAGGUUCUGAGGUUCUACCAGGUUCUACUAGGGUCUAUCAUACUGUUCCACUGUUCUCAGGGCGGGGUAUCACCAAACAUAGAGGUGAGCAUUCACCAGGGUUAGAAGUUGGCUUUAAGCUUAGAGAGUGGAGGUGGCUUUAGGCUUAGAGAGUGGAGGUGGCUUUAGGCUUAGAGAGUGGAGGUGGCUUUAGGCUUAGAGAGUGGAGGUGUCUUUAGGCUUAUAGAGUGGAGGUGGCUUUAGGCUUAGAGAGUGGAGGUGUCUUUAGGCUUAGAGAGUGGAGGUGUCUUUAGGCUUAGAGAGUGGAGGUGUCUUUAGGCUUAUAGAGUGGUGGCUUUAGGAUUAGAGAGUGGAGGUGUCUUUAGGCUUAGAGAGUGGAGGUGUCUUUAGGCUUAUAGAGUGGUGGCUUUAGGAUUAGACGUUGGGUUUCGGGUUAGAGAGUGGAGGUGGCUUCAGGCUUAGAGAGUGGAGGUGGCUUUAGGCUUAGAGAGUGGAGGUGGCUUCAGGCUUAGAGAGUGGAGGUGGCUUCAGGCUUAGAGAGUGGAGGUGGCUUCAGGCUUAGAGAGUGGAGGUGUCUUUAGGCUUAUAGAGUGGAGGUGGC